rnacentral:rRNA from 1 species
UACGGGGGGAGCAAGCGUUGUUCGGAUUUACUGGGCGUAAAGGGCGCGUAGGCGGCGCAACAAGUCACUUGUGAAAUCUCCGGGCUUAACCCGGAGCGGUCAAGUGAUACUGUCGUGCUAGAGUGCGGAAGGGGCUACUGGAAUUCUCGGUGUAGCGGUGAAAUGCGUAGAUAUCGAGAGGGAACACCUGCGGCGAAGGCGGGUUGCUGGGCCGACA